rnacentral:rRNA from 1 species
UGGGGAAUAUUGCACAAUGGGGGAAACCCUGAUGCAGCGACGCCGCGUGGGGGAUGACGGCCUUCGGGUUGUAAACCUCCUUCAGUAGGGAAGAAGCCUUCGGGUGACGGUACCUGCAGAAGAAGUACCGGCUAACUACGUGCCAGCAGCCGCGGUAAUACGUAGGGUACAAGCGUUGUCCGGAAUUAUUGGGCGUAAAGAGCUCGUAGGUGGUCUGUCACGUCUGCUGUGGAAACGCAAGGCUCAACCUUGCGCGUGCAGUGGGUACGGGCGGACUAGAGUGCAGUAGGGGAGUCUGGAAUUCCUGGUGUAGCGGUGAAAUGCGCAGAUAUCAGGAGGAACACCGGUGGCGAAGGCGGGACUCUGGGCUGUAACUGACGCUGAGGAGCGAAAGCAUGGGGAGCGAACAGGAUUAGAUACCCUGGUAGUCCAUGCCGUAAACGUUGGGCACUAGGUGCUGGGGUCCAUUCCACGGAUUCCGUGCGCCGUAGCUAAGCGCAUUAAGUGCCCCGCCUGGGGAGUACGG